ACUAUUUUGGCAGAUUAUAUGCUCUAGAUUUAGGAUCUAGUUAAAUAGAGGAGAUUCUAUAAAUAGUA
rnacentral:tRNA from 1 species